ensembl:lncRNA
AUGGUUAACGAGACGUGGUGUGGUCACAACAACAUACAGGAACUCAAGUCCUUCUGUUCACCUGAUUUAGAAUUCUUCACAAUAAAAUGUCGACCGCAUUAUCUACCAAGGGAAUUCUCUUCGAUUAUAAUCACAGCCGUAUAUAUUUCCCCCCAAGCAGACACAUCGAUGGCUCUGAACGAACUUUAUUUGACUCUUUGCAAACUGGAAUCCAUAUAUCCUGAGGCUGCAUUCAUUGUAGCUGGGGAUUUUAACAAGGCUAAUCUGAAAACAAGACUCCCUGAAUUGUAUCAGCAUAUCGAUUGCGCAACCAGGGCUGGAAAAACCUUGGAUCAUUGCUAUUCUAACUUCCGCGACGCAUAUAAGGCCCUGCCCCGCUCUCCUUUCGGAAAAGCUGACCACGACUCCAUUUUAUUGAUCCCUGCCUACAGACAGAAACUAAAACAAGAAGCUCCCGCGCUGAGGUCUGUUCAACGCUGGUCUGACCAAUCUGAUUCCACACUCCAAGACUGCUUCCAUCACGUGGACUGGGAUAUGUUUCGUAUUGCAUCAAACAACAACAUUGACGAAUACGCUGAUUCGGUGAGCGAGUUCAUUAGAACGUGCGUUGAAGAUGUCGUUCCCAUAGCAACGAUUAAAACAUUCCCAAACCAGAAACCGUGGAUUGAUGGUAGCAUUCGCGUGAAACUGAAAGCGCGAACCACUUCUUUUAAUCAGGGCAAGGUGACCGGCAACAUGACCGAAUACAAACAGUGUAGCUAUUCCCUCCGCAAGGCAAUCAAACAAGCUAAGCGUCAGUAUAGAGACAAAGUAGAAUCUCAAUUCAACGGCUCAGACACAAGAGGUAUGUGGCAGGGUCUACAGUCAAUCACGGAUUACAAAAAGAAAACCAGCCCAGUCACGGACCAGGAUGUCUUGCUCCCAUGCAGACUAAAUAACUUUUUUGCCCGCUUUGAGGACAAUGCAGUGCCACUGACACGGCCCGUAACCAAAACAUGCGGACUCUCCUUCACUGCAGCCGACGUGAGGAAAACAUUUAAACGUGUUAACCCUCGCAAGGCUGCAGGCCCAGACGGAAUCCCCAGCCGCGCCCUCAGAGCAUGCGCAGACCAGCUGGCUGGUGUGUUUACGGACAUAUUUAAUCAAUCCCUAUCCCAGUCUGUUGUUCCCACAUGCUUCAAGAGGGCCACCAUUGUUCCUGUUCCCAAGAAAGCUAAGGUAACUGAGCUAAACGACUACCGCCCCGUAGCACUCACUUCCGUCAUCAUGAAGUGCUUUGAGAGACUAGUCAAGGACCAUAUCACCUCCACCCUACCUGACACCCUAGACCCACUCCAAUUUGCUUACCGCCCAAAUAGCUCCACAGACGAUGCAAUCUCAACCACACUGCACACUGCCCUAACCCAUCUGGACAAGAGGAAUACCUAUGUGAGAAUGCUGUUCAUCGACUACAGCUCGGCAUUUAACACCAUAGUGCCCUCCAAGCUCGUCAUCAAGCUUGAGACCCUGGGUCUCGACCCCGCCCUGUGCAACUGGGUACUGGACUUCCUGACGGGCCGCCCCAGGUGGUGA